GGGCGAUCUGGCUGCAACAUCUGUCACUCCACUGAUGGACAGAGUUACUCUGCUGAUAUGGCUGGCUAGGAGGGUGUCCCCUCCUUAAGUGUCCCUCCGGAAGCUGCAUGUUCAGUUGAAGUUGACAACCACCCCCACCACCCUGACAGAGGAGGACUAUUUCCUCCGUCAAGUGUAUAUAGGUAGCUGUGCUACCCUGACAGAACCUCCAAAACAGCGCUCAAGCUCUCAAAGUGAAACCCUGACUAGAAAUACUUUUAGGAGUGUAUUUGCCACUGUGGCUGUAUAAUUGUUCCCUUUUUUACAAAGAGUAUAGCUUCAUAGUCAUUUCUCUGUUGU
rnacentral:snRNA from 1 species